rnacentral:rRNA from 1 species
GAUGAACGCUGGCGGUAUGCUUAAUACAUGCAAGUCGUACGAGGGCUUUUAGCUCUAGUGGCGGACGGGUGAGUAACACGUGAGAAUCUGCCCUUAGGAGGAGGAUAACAGCUGGAAACGGUUGCUAAUACUCCAUAUGCCGAGAGGUGAAAGGAUUUAUCCACCUAAGGAGGAGCUCGCGUCUGAUUAGCUAGUUGGUAGGGUAAUAGCCUACCAAGGCGACGAUCAGUAGCUGGUUUGAGAGGAUGAUCAGCCACACUGGGACUGAGACACGGCCCAGACUCCUACGGGAGGCAGCAGUAGGGAAUUUUCCGCAAUGGGCGAAAGCCUGACGGAGCAAUACCGCGUGAGGGAUGACGGUCUGUGGGUUGUAAACCUCUUUUCUCAAGGAAGAAGUUCUGACGGUACUUGAGGAAUAAGCAUCGGCUAACUCUGUGCCAGCAGCCGCGGUAAUACAGAGGAUGCAAGCGUUAUCCGGAAUCACUGGGCAUAAAGCGUCUGUAGGUGGUUUAGUAAGUCUGCUGUUAAAGACUGGGGCUCAACCCCAGAAAAGCAGUGGAAACUGCUAGACUUGAGUGUGGUAGAGGUAGAGGGAAUUCCUAGUGUAGCGGUGAAAUGCGUAGAUAUUAGGAAGAACACCAAUGGCGAAGGCACUCUACUGGGCCAUAACUGACACUGAGAGACGACAGCUAGGGGAGCAAAUGGGAUUAGAUACCCCAGUAGUCCUAGCCGUAAACGAUGGAUACUAGAUGUUGCACGUAUUAACCCGUGCAGUAUCGUAGCUAAGGCGUUAAGUAUCCCGCCUGGGAAGUACGCUCGCAAGAGUG